GUAUACAAAAUUGAUGUUUUUGGUCCAACAAAACUAUGUUGAACCCUUCUUGAUCAAAAUUAAAUCAAGAUUAAGUGUACGACUCUAUACCUGACAUCUAACAAUACUGCAACACCACAACACAAAUUCAAAUUAGCAAAAAAUUAAUCCAGCUCAAGAAAUGUUGUUCCACUGAAUCAACAAGACCCACGAGCUACAGGUUUGGUUCCAGUGCACUAUUUGAAUUUCUCGUGCAUGAUGCCCUGGUUCUACUUCAGUCCGCUGUAUCCAUGUUAUUUGUAGCAAACAACAAUAGGGUUAAUUCCUCGCUCGCAAAGCUAGUAAUAAGGGACUGCGUUAUUAUGAGGGCAGAUUAAUAUUUGAAUAUUUUGAUGCCGGCACUGAUUGCUUGCUACAUUGAGAUGGCAAAUUACACACAAGAAGGGAAACUCACCGGAUAUUGAACCACCCAGUGUCAGUGAGGGCUUCUAAGGUCGUUAUAAAACAAUAUAAAUUUCAGAACCAAAACAAUGCAUGACCCAUCAGAUAUUAUAAGCACCAGAUCAGUUAAAGAGAAAAGGGCAUGGAAUCCUAAGCUCGAGAGAAAAUUCCAGUAUAAACUGUAGGUACCACAAACUCAACCAAUAUAAAUUUCAGAACCAAAACAAUGCAUGACCCAUCAGAUAUUAUAAGCACCAGAUCAGUUAAAGAGAAAAGGGCAUGGAAUCCUAAGCUCGAGAGAAAAUUCCAGUAUAAACUGUAGGUACCACAAACUCAACCAAUAUAAAUUUCAGAACCAAAACAAUGCAUGACCCAUCAGAUAUUAUAAGCACCAGAUCAGUUAAAGAGAAAAGGGCAUGGAAUCCUGAGCUCGAGAGAAAAUUCCAGUAUAAACUGUAGGUACCACAAACUCAACCAAUAUAAAUUUCA
rnacentral:lncRNA from 1 species